rnacentral:rRNA from 1 species
UACGGAGGGUGCAAGCGUUAUCCGGAUUCACUGGGUUUAAAGGGUGCGUAGGUGGGCAGGUAAGUCAGUGGUGAAAUCUCCGGGCUUAACCCGGAACUGCCGUUGAUACUAUCUGUCUUGAAUGUAGUGGAGGUGAGCGGAAUAUGUCAUGUAGCGGUGAAAUGCUUAGAUAUGACAUAGAACAUCGAUUGCGAAGGCAGCUCGUUACACUAUUAUUGACACUGAGGCACGAAAGCGUGGGGAUCAAACAGG